AGAGUUUGAUCCUGGCUCAGGAUGAACGCUGGCGGUAUGCUUAACACAUGCAAGUCGAACGGGCUCUUCGGAGCUAGUGGCGGACGGGUGAGUAACGCGUGAGAAUCUGGCUUCAGGUUCGGGACAACAGUUGGAAACGGCUGCUAAUACCGGAUGUGCCUUAGGGUGAAAGAUUUAUCACCUGAAGAUGAGCUCGCGUCUGAUUAGCUAGUAGGUGUGGUAAGAGCGCACCUAGGCGACGAUCAGUAGCUGGUCUGAGAGGAUGAUCAGCCACACUGGGACUGAGACACGGCCCAGACUCCUACGGGAGGCAGCAGUGGGGAAUUUUCCGCAAUGGGCGAAAGCCUGACGGAGCAAUACCGCGUGAGGGAGGAAGGCUCUUGGGUUGUAAACCUCUUUUCUCAGGGAAGAAGAAAUGACGGUACCUGAGGAAUAAGCAUCGGCUAACUCCGUGCCAGCAGCCGCGGUAAUACGGAGGAUGCAAGCGUUAUCCGGAAUGAUUGGGCGUAAAGCGUCCGCAGGUGGCAAUGUAAGUCUGCUGUCAAAGCGUCUGGCUCAACCAGAUAAAGGCAGUGGAAACUACAUAGCUAGAGUAAGGUAGGGGUAGAGGGAAUUCCUGGUGUAGCGGUGAAAUGCGUAGAGAUCAGGAAGAACACCGGUGGCGAAAGCGCUCUGCUGGACCUUAACUGACACUGAGGGACGAAAGCUAGGGGAGCGAAUGGGAUUAGAUACCCCAGUAGUCCUAGCCGUAAACGAUGGAUACUAGGCGUUGCCCGUAUCGACCCGGGCAGUGUCGUAGCUAACGCGUUAAGUAUCCCGCCUGGGGAGUACGCAGGCAACUGUGAAACUCAAAGGCAUUGACGGGGGCCCGCACAAGCGGUGGAGUAUGUGGUUUAAUUCGAUGCAACGCGAAGAACCUUACCAGGGCUUGACAUGUCCGGAAUCUCUUGGAAACGAGAGAGUGCCUUCGGGAGCCGGAACACAGGUGGUGCAUGGCUGUCGUCAGCUCGUGUCGUGAGAUGUUGGGUUAAGUCCCGCAACGAGCGCAACCCUCGUUCUUAGUUGCCAUCAUUAAGUUGGGAACUCUAAGGAGACUGCCGGUGACAAACCGGAGGAAGGUGGGAAUGACGUCAAGUCAGCAUGCCCCUUACGCCCUGGGCUACACACGUACUACAAUGCUAUGGACAAAGGGCAGCAAGCGGGCAACCGCAAGCAAAUCUCGUAAACCAUGGCUCAGUUCAGAUCGCAGGCUGCAACUCGCCUGCGUGAAGGUGGAAUCGCUAGUAAUUGCAGGUCAGCAUACUGCAGUGAAUUCGUUCCCGGGCCUUGUACACACCGCCCGUCACACCAUGGAAGCUGGUCACGCCCGAAGUCGUUACCCUAACCUUUCGAGGAGGGGGACGCCGAAGGUAGGACUGGUGACUGGGGUGAAGUCGUAACAAGGUAGCCGUACCGGAAGGUGUGGCUGGAUCA
rnacentral:rRNA from 1 species